ACAAGCAAUAGUGGCUUACGUGGGCGGUCGCAUCACCUCGAAAGGAGGUGAUGCUAUGGAGACGUUUCAGGCUCUUCAAUUAAUGUUCCUGUUCGGAAUGUUUAUUCUAGCGCUAACGUUUAUCCGGAAAAUGAAAUAGAUCGCCCAUGAACUGCACCCCGAUUGUUAGACACAAUCUAACAAUGGAGGUGCAGUUUUUCUAUGACAAGAUUUUCGUUUGAAGAGAAGGUAAA
rfam:Paenibacillus larvae subsp. larvae DSM 25430, complete genome.